rnacentral:rRNA from 1 species
UACGGAGGAUCCAAGCGUUAUCCGGAUUCAUUGGGUUUAAAGGGUGCGUAGGCGGAUUUGUAAGUCAGCGGUGAAAUCCUACAGCUUAACUGUAGAACUGCCGUUGAUACUGCAAGUCUUGAGUACAUUUGAUGUGGGCGGAAUGUGUCAUGUAGCGGUGAAAUGCUUAGAUAUGACACGGAACACCGAUUGCGAAGGCAGCUCACAAAACUGUAACUGACGCUGAGGCACGACAGCGUGGGGAUCAAACAGGAUUAGAAACCCUGGUAGUCC